GUGCACGUUUCCCGCAGCACACAUACUAACAUUGGAGGGAUACAGAGAAGAGUGGCACGGCCUCUGCACAGGAAUGAUGUGCUAAUGUGUGAAGCCUUUCAAUUUCCU
ensembl:snRNA U6 U6 spliceosomal RNA